UGGGGGAUAUUGCGCAAUGGGGGCAACCCUGACGCAGCAACGCCGCGUGAAGGAUGAAGGUUUUCGGAUUGUAAACUUCUUUUAUUAAGGACGAAACUUGACGGUACUUAAUGAAUAAGCUCCGGCUAACUACGUG
rnacentral:rRNA from 1 species